rnacentral:misc_RNA from 1 species
UACAGAAGCUCCGAGCGUUACCCGGAUUCACUGGGCGUAAAGGGUGCGUAGGCGGUUAUAUUAGUCGGGGGUGAAAUCCCGGGGCUCAACCUCGGAAUCGCGUUCGAAACGGUAGAACUAGGAGACGUGAGAGGUGUGCGGAACUCAAGGUGUAGGGGUGAAAUCCGUUGAUAUCUUGGGGAACACCAAAUGCGAAGGCAGCACACUGGCGCUCUCUCGACGCUGAGGCACGAAAGCGUGGGUAGCGAAUGGG